ensembl:lncRNA novel transcript
AUUGCAGACUCCUCCCAGUGCGCAGGCUGGUCAGAGGUUUUCCCGGGACGCGUUUUUACUUGGCUGUCUCACAAACAUGCCUACCGUACACUGAGCCUUGGAGGAGAUAAAGAAGACACCCACAGCCCUAAGAAAAAAGAAACACCAAAGCAAUUCUAAUAUAAAGUUUAGAAACAUUUCUGAAUAUUGAAAUAUUGAACUUCUCAUCACCCCACUGGAUUGUACAUUCUUGGAAGACAGUGUGUCCAGAAUUAGUGGGUUCUUGGUCUCACUGACUUCAAGAAUGAAGCCGCGGACCCUCACGUUUCCUAAUUGAUGUCCUGGUUUUUCUCUUCCACCAGUCUUCAUACUUCUCCAGGAACUAACUGUAAAGAAGAAACUUCAUUGAGAGGGACAUAGGUCAAUGGUGACUUACUUCAGUGGCCUCUACUAUUACUUCCUUUCUGAAGCCUAGUUUCUACUUGUUCUCUGUCUCACAAGAGACUCAGUUUAAUUCUCUGAAUUUUUCAAACUGAGGUCAUGACAAACUUGGUUUAAUUCUCUGAGCUUUCAAACUUAGUUAAUGAUUCCAUUUGGAAGAAUCAUGGCCCUCAUUUUCCCUUGAUGGAUUUGAAGCAUACUGAAAACUGAUUCACAAAGCACGUAGAAUCUUGAACAUUCUAUACAGCAGCAGUAAUGUUAAUGAAAUAGUGAGGAGAACUCAUGCAGUUUAAAAUAACUAUUUUUAUAAUAAAUUCUUUAAAAUUGGUAUGGUCAUAGAUAUUGUCAAAUAUUUUAAUGUUUGGUAUGUAGGCCAGAGGAGGUAUUUUUUCAUGUUUGUGUACUUUAUCUUAUUGAAAAUAGAACACAUUUAAGUAACUUUAUAUACACUUACAUAUGUAAUUUUAUAUAUACUCAGUGAGAGAAAGAAAGAGAUUGAGAGAGUCUGAAGUUAGUUUACAUACACAAUUGCAUUUAAGGGAAGUGCAUUUCAAAUGACUAGUACCAUAUCAUCAUAUUAAAGAAGAUAUCUCUUUGGAAAAUUUGUCAUGAACAAGAGAUGAUUAGAAGCAGCAUAUGAUAGACAACAACAUUUCAUCUCUGCAUGCAAUUAUGGUACAAAUUAGAAAUGCUAUUAUGUUGGUGCUCCAUAAUUAAGUAAGCAAUUAAAAACAAAAACAGUUCAUUAACAAAUGUCAUAGCUAUGCCGACAAAUGCCCAGUGAGGUCACGGUCACAGCAAUUGCACGAGAUGAUGACUAAGUCUUCCCAAGAGCAAGAGUCUCCACCAACAGCGUUGGUUCUAUUUCUAGUGCGUGUGUUAUAUAAAUAGCAAUUUGGGCUGGAAAAACUGAAAUAAACAUUGCAAGCAAAUAUAGAGAGGAGGCGAGCUGUUUGUGGUAAGUUGCUUAUGCCAUUUGUUGAGUAUGACUGGAAACCAAAAUGAAAUUUUAGUUUUAUUCAAAAAAUAAAAAUAAAAUCUCUGUUGAUACUUAA